CGCCAGAUUUUCAGUCGAACACACUAUCCCUCCCCCGUGUCCACCCGCACAUCUCACAAACCCUAGUUCUUAUCCGUGUGACCGUGUCUACCCCCUUGCUGUCUUGCGCCGCCGCCACCUCCGAUUUGCCUCGCACCGUCCCCGCCACCUCCGAUCUGCCUCGUGCCGCCCCACCCCCGCCGUCGACCUGCCUUCCGCCGGCUUCGCCCCAACCCCAACCCACCCCGCGCCACCGUGGCCUCCGACCCCGACCUUCCUGCACAUUGAUUUGCUCGCCCCGCCGCUUCUACCACCACUGGCGGCGCAAUCUGUUGCGGAGACUGCCCACGAGCACAGCCGGAGGUGCCUCCCAUCGUCUGCCGCAGAGGAUACCCUUAGCGCCCCCAGCCGAGGAGCUGGCUCGUCAUCUCUGGUCAAGGAGACGCUCCAUCAACGGCCGCAGGGGAGUGGCCCCAACCUUUGGGGCCGAGGAGCCGCCUGACCAUCCCUCUUUAGCCACCGGCGAUGCCACCCCGUUGCACCUUGUUCCACACUUCUACAUCACCUACAGAUUUGGUCGCUACAGAUGGUGGCUACUGGAUCAGUGGAUCCCCUUGUGUUGAUUGCUGGUGACCUUCCUCAUUAAUAAUUGAAGGGUCACUUUGAUAAUCGUGUUCCUUCUCCUACUAUCUGGAGCUGCAGUGAACGACAGAAAGGGGUCAGGAUAACAUGUACCUCGACAGCAUCUGCUAUGUCGAAAGGCCCACCAAGCUGGGGAAAUUUAGCACUCGCAGGAAAAAUCAGUUGUCAUCGCAGAAUUCGGCAGCUGUUUCGAAGGAGAGGAGUUGUUUCAAAGAACUUUUCACCCUGGGUUCACCCAUAACUUUAGUAGAGCAUCGGCCUAGGCGCAACUUCAAGAGAAGCACUUGAAGGGGGACAAAUGGAAGAAAAAUGGGAAGUCCACAAGUUGACGAACGAUGUUGUUGUGACCACUUUUGUUCAUGACAUGGUUGACUCCUUCCGUUCAUACAAAGUUGAUAUUGGUUUUGUGGUCAAAGCCUGUUCUAUAAUAUUUGGUAGUAGUUGAGCGAUCACACACUCUCUCUUAGGGACUUGGCCAUCACAUUUUGUAACAUGACAUGAUUUGUAUGUCAACGUAUGUAUUUCCUCAAUGUUUGUAGCUAACUUGAGUGAAGAAAAGAGAAAACUAAAAGAAAUCUUAUAUAUAUAUAUGUUGAAUAAAUGUAUUGAUCAAUUGAUCUUGCGAUUAACAGAAGAGUUCAAUCGUUUGUAUAU